AUUGAACGCUGGCGGCAGGCCUAACACAUGCAAGUCGAACGAGCGGCGGACGGGUGAGUAAUGUCUGGGAAACUGCCUGAUGGAGGGGGAUAACUACUGGAAACGGUAGCUAAUACCGCAUACCAUCGGAUGUUCCCAGGUGGGAUUAGCUAGUGGGUGGGGUAAUGGCUCACCUAGGCGACGAUCCCUAGCUGGUCUGAGAGGAUGACCAGCCAGCCGGGAGCGGAGAAACGGUCCAGACUCCUACGGGAGGCAGCAGUGGGGAAUAUUGAACAAGGGGGGAAAGCCUGAUGCAGCCAUGCCGCGUGGAUGAAGAAGGCCUUCGGGUUGUAAAGUACUUUCAGCGGGGAGGCGUUACCCGCAGAAGAAGCACCGGCUAACUCCGUGCCAGCAGCCGCGGUAAUUC
rnacentral:rRNA from 1 species